rnacentral:rRNA from 1 species
CCUACGGGAGGCAGCAGUGAGGAAUAUUGGUCAAUGGACGAGAGUCUGAACCAGCCACGUAGCGUGAAGGAUGACUGCCCUAUUGGUUGUAAACUUCUUUUAUAAAGGAAUAAAACGAGGCACGUGUGCCUUUUUGCAUGUGCUUUAUGAAUAAGGAUCGGCUAACUCCGUGCCAGCCGCCGCGGUAAUACGGAGGAUGCGAGCGUUAUCCGGAUUUAUUGGGUUUAAAGGGUGCGUAGAUGGGUUGUUAAGUCAGUGGUGAAAGUUUGCGGCUCAACCAUAAAAUUGCAAUUGAUACUGGCAGACUUGAGUACGGUUGAGGUAAGCGGAAUUCGUGGUGUAGCGGUGAAAUGCAUAGAUAUAACGAAGAACCCCGAUAGCGAAGGCAGCUUACUAGGCUUUUACUGACACUGAAGCACGAAAGCGUGGGGAGCAAACAGGAUUAGAUACCCUAGUAGUC